AUCUGCUCCGAAGGUGAAGUUUCUACUGGAGCAUAUGGAGAAAUCGAUUUUCGAUCUGCUCCGACGGUGAAGUUUCGGCUGGAGCAUCAGUCUUAAUCGAGUUUGGAUCUGCUCCGAUGGUGAAGUUUCUGCUGGAGCAUCUGGAGAAAUCUGGGUGUGGGAUAUUAGACGGGUCUUGCUGGGCCGUUCAUUGCGAGAAGAAGAUUGCCGGAGUAUACACCCACCGCGGAUGGGGUGUGUUCUGUGGCCCUCAUCAUGCUUGUAGCGAGGUGUGAGUCAAAUAGAACAUGACAACCCACUGGGAUUUGUUCAGAGUUUGUCAUCCUUGAAAUUGAUUGUAGGUUCUGUAGAAAUCUUAUGGUAAGGACCUUCUUCUCAUCUUUCUUUUUCUUCUUUUAAAUCUGUGUAAUCUGUUGUGUUCAUUAAGUGAAGAGCGAAGAUCGGAGGUCUAGAAACAUCUAUUCGAUCUUCAGCAUCACAGCUCCAUGCAAUCAUCGAUCUACCCAUGAAAGGUCUUCGAAUUUGCGGUUUAUCGAUUUCCCAAUCUUCAAACUUUGUUCUUUAGCACCAUUUUGACCGUUCAUUCAUCAAGGAGAGUUUCAAAUUGGAUUGGGCUUUGCAGAAACAAAUUGACUGAGGUAUAUACAUACAACACUUCUCCUUAAUCUAUAUUAGUUGUGUUAAUUUGUGCAGUCUGUGCUUUAGGUUUUUGGCAUCAUUUAAUGUGAAUCUGGAGGUCAUGGUGAGGAAUGAAGAUAUGGUUAUCGUCUUUCUCUGUAAUUUGGGAACAUAUCUCAAGGCGACUGACCUUCAUCAUCAAUUUCCCUCCAACCAUUCUUCAAGGAAGGUUACUAAACAAAAUUGUUAGCUGGCUGGAUACUUAACAUAUUGUUUGCAGAGAAAAAUAGAGGGGUCCAUUCAGAUGCAAUUGUCAUGAUCGAAACAGAAAGAGGAAGACUUUGAGAAAUACAAAGGUCUGGAAGAUUUGGAAUAUAUAUAAAGGGUUCAAACCAAGUGAGUCUUCUCUGACCUGUAUCUUUGGUUUAAUUUGGUUUGUUAGAUAAGUUGCCAGAUUGAUGCAGAGACAAUGAGUUUGGGUACAAGUACAAUGGCCAGCAGUGACUAAGUGAGUUCUUAUCUUUGAUAUUUCUCUCCUUCAUGAUUGAUAUAACUUUUAGUUAUCUUUUGAACUUCUCGGAGAAGAAGAAGAAGAGAGAGAUGGAAGGAAACAAGAGGCAGAGAAGAGAGAGGUUCCGGAUGCAACUAGUGACCAUGAAAUUCGGAGGGAGUCUGUAGGAGAAGAAGGGAAUCCAGAUUCAAGCAGUGAUAGAGCAAUAGACUGAGUUUCAAUAUGUUAUUGCAUAUUUUUGUUAAGUGUUACUCUUGGUUGUCUUCAUUAGGUACUUGGUUUUGGGCAUAACUUAAUUUGUACUUCUUCUAAUUACCUAUACUGAUAGUGCAACAACUUAAUUACAUUGCAAUGAAAUAGAUGAGUUAAUGAACAA